ensembl:lncRNA
GGGAACAUCAAGAUUUCUGUGUGUCAGAGGCAUUUUCUAAGGCUAGUAGAAACCAUUAGGGCAAAAUAUACACUAAAUUAACCAUACUUGGCCAGAUCCUGGCCCCUGCUAGGACCUCUUCACACUGCUCAACCAGUGUUUCAUGUUUGCAGCCAGCCCAUAGAAAAGACCUUUGCAAAGCACAAAAGUAACAUCAAUGGGGCUACGUGUGAGAGUCCUGUGAGCAGGAUUGGGUGCCUGGUGUCCUCUGAGCAUCUGAUGAGAUCAGAGCCACCAGCACACCGAGAAGCAUUCUCCGUUGCACAGCUGCAGGGAUAUACAACUUGUUAUCUUUUUUGAAAAUCACUGUCUGAAAGGAGGAUACAGACAUGUCACUCUAUCUGAAGUUACCAUUGGCUCUGCUUCUUCUGUCAACUCACAAGGAUGCUCGGGAGAUGAUAGCAGCCUGCCAGGACCUUCCCAGAUUCUUUCCUAUUCUCAUGAAAGCAGAGAAAGCAUUUUUAAUCUUCAUGACUGACUCAGCAGAAAUUGAGAGAUUCAAAAAUGUUCCUUCCGCUCCAUGGUAACUAAUGUUAGUAUGAACAGAUUGCUUAGCCCAUACUCUCUCUCCCACAAUCUGUUGAAUACAUGAAUUAACACAGGCAUUUUCUGGCUCUCUCUGUUCCCUGAUGUUGUGGUUAUUGUUUAACAAUCAGAUCUAAAUGUUUGAUUCUGGGUUUCAUUCAGUACUAAUAUUACCGUAAAAGUAAAAAUCUAGAUCUGUCAACAUCAUACAGGCAUGAGAUACUCUCGUAUUGCUUACUGAUCCUGCCCUGUUCGCACACAAUAUGCAGUUCAGUAACAAUAUACAGCAACAUUCUCCAUUCUUAAAUAGUCCUAAAGCAGGCAAAAACUCUCAUCCAAGUUUCAGUCUCUGAUAAAGAUUUAAAACUGUCAAGAUUUUGAGAUUUGGCCCGUUAAAAAAAAACACAAGGUGGCGUGGUAUUGGCAUGCCUGUGGGAUACCUGCUGCUCAUCCCAAAUGAUUGAUUGUGACAGAAUAUACCCCUGUGUCCACACCCUAGACAGUAUUGUAAUGUUUGUACAAGGUAUACCUUGUGAGGUAUUUAAAAACUCAUAACUUGCUGAUCAAUAAUAUCAUGGUAAAAUGCACAUAGCAACAUUAUAUGUAAAGUUAUGAACAUAUGCUGCCAUCAUGGCUGUAAUAUGUUUCCCAGAUGAAUCUGGAGAGUGGCUAAACCAGUUUGUCAGCAACAAGAGACAAGCCGACGCCUCAGCCAGGUGUCAAAAAGGCUGACGGACCGUUACCUGCUAAGUCGUCAUUCUUUGGCAAGCAAGGGGGCAGGGACAAAAAUCUACAUCUGAGCAAAGAAACAGCAUGGAGUUUCCUCUCUUCACCAGACUGCCUACUGCCUUGCUCCCAGCUGGAAAUGCUUCUCAUAGUGGGGACAGGACUACAAACAGAUGGGGCAGACACCCCAAGACACCUCUCUUCUCCCUCCCUCUCUCUCUCUGGCAUACUCUUGGUGGGGGAGGAGUCCUGACCUGAGAGAUUGGUCAGUAAUCUGCUGGAGCAUGUGAUGUGAAACUUUGCUUGAAUCUAAUAUGGUUUGCUAAAUUAGACACUAGUAAAUCUAUUAUCUUUAUAUUUCUUGUAACCAUUUCUGACUUUAAUGCCUCAUUACUUAUACUCACUUAAAAUCUCUCUCUUUGUAGUUAAUAAACUUGUUUUAUUGUUUUACCUAAUCCA